UGGGCCUAGAUCGUAUCGGGGGAACGGAGGACGCGCGUGUGCGUUCUGGUCCGUGGACCAGAAUGUUCUCAUCUCAACCGAGCCACGGAUCAGAACAGAGGAAACCCUCGUCGCCCCCCUCUCUUCCCCCAAAACCGGCGGCGCUCGAUCUGCACCGGCGGCCACGUGAUGGAAGAGGCUGGCCUCGAUUUCCUGCUCGAUGCCGUCCACAGGCCAUCGCCGUCUUGUUUCAGGGGAGGAGUUCGAGGACUAUCUUGAACACCCAGAUCCGGUUCCUCUGGCCUUGUUCCUGAGAAGCGAAGCCAGCCACGCCGUCCCUGCGGACUCAAAUGCCGGGUCUGGUUGCGGGCAACAGGACGGGGAGUGCGCCGGCGUCCUGAUGCUUCUCUGACUCGGUCGGGGCAGUCACUGACCCCGAGGCCUCUGGUUGGACAAAAAGGUUACAGCUCGGUAGUGCACCACCAGACCAGACACCUUGUCCCUGGGAUGAGUGCUCACAAUUAUGCAGAGGAACCGACAAAGAGUGUAGUGCGACCUGCACUUGCUCGGGCGAGGCAUAUGAUUUCUACAAUUUGUACACUUGGGAGAUCGGGUUCGGAAUUAGAUAUGAUAAGAUCAGGCUCAACGCUGAGAGGACACAAUGCAUGGAGGAGAUAGUCUGCGGUUGCUCGGUGCCUACUGAACUCUGCUUACAUAGUUAUAUUUGAGAAAAUGGGAUUGGGCCAAUGUACUCCCCAAGUACUUCUGGUUACUGUACAACUUAGACUAUACAUGCUUGGCGAGCAGUCAUAAUUCUGAACGAAUGAACAAUUGGAGGCUAGGUCAGCAUUGCCUUACAAAUUCUACCUGUGUUCAUGCACUCCUCCGGUUGUUGUAGCGAUGAUCUGUUCCUUUCUCAGUGGGACAUGCGGGUCUUGAAAGGUUCAAGACAAUAACAAGCAGUUACUACUUACUACCGGGGAGUGCAUGGAAUCAUUGUAAGCCCUCAUGGACACCCGUAUUACUUUUUUAUCAUAUUCUUGUGACACUCAACGCCGUCUUUUUGGAACUGUUUUACUCAGAUGUAGUAAUAUAGUACUCUAGGAUCGGUUGAAUUGGUUCACAGUUUCACUUUAGCCAUUGACCUGAACUUAUCAUUUUCACGGCUCGCUGUUAUCUACAUUUAGAAAAUAAUGUGAUUUCUCUUGUACUGGCUAACAUCUAACCGCCAUUUUAGUUUGAGCUUACCUGUUAUACUUGAAUGGACAGAACAACGUAUUGCUAAUUGGCACACACCAAAAAAAACACUCUCAACUUGUUUCAUGCUUGAAAGGUUGGCUUGCCUCUUUGUUCUUGAUACUCUUCUUCGUAAUGUGAUUCUGAUCUUUUCUAUUCAAAUAUAUAAUGAAGUGACUAAAAUAUCAAUGAUUAGUUUCAGGCAUUUGCGGAAUCAUUAGGAACGAAUUUUCUUGAGAGUUAUGCUACGGAAUCCAUCAAUGUGGAGAGAACUUUCUUAAAUAUGUCAUCAGAAAUGAAGAAAAGAUAACCAGGAGCUACACACUUUUAGAGGCCUUUUUUCUUCCCAGUUUCUCUGAAAUGUUAGAUCUCAUCGAAUGACAUGUAUUCUUGUGAAAAAGAAAGGCUUUGGGAAUUCCGUCCAAUAUGUUUGCAUUACUGGUUUAAAAAAUAUGAUAUGCUCAUCUUUUUAUUGGGUUGUGUGCAUGAUCAAGAGAAGCCGAGAGAGCAAUAAUUUCUUGCUUUUCGGAAGAAAAACUGCAAGCAAGAGCAAUGACGAACAAUUUCUCAAAUACUUCCCAUGGAGCCUUUCAUUACAUUAAUUCUGCAGAGUUCAUAAUUGACACAAACAGUUUAUUUAGGUAUUGGCUUUAGUUUUUCUGAUGGCUAAGGACCAGAUCAUGCAGUUAUCUCCUCUUAUGACUACUUCUGCUGCCUUCUAAAAAUCUGGUGGGCAUGCUUUCCAUGUGGACUGCUAGUCUUGCCUUCUGUUCGAGUGAAGGAUUUACUUGCUACUGAAAUUUUUACAUGCCUGCAGAAUGACGAGCCAAUCUGCCACGGAGAGGAAAUCUACUGUCCAUGUUCACAUGAAAGGGCAGCCCAUACAGCAGCAGAACAGCAGCUGCUGCUCCGCAUAGGCUCAGCAAGACUCCAUUCCCAUGUGUUAUGAUAUUGUUGAGUGGACAUGAUUUUGUUGUGUUACUGUUUACCAUGGAGUACAUAUUUAAUACCUGCCAAUGUAUUAGAUGCAUUUGAUGGAUCUUAGGUAACGAAAAUUGUGUGAAAACAUGGUUAAUUAAAGCUUAGUAAUCAUCGCCCUGUCAUAUUUCCCAAAGGAUCA